rnacentral:tRNA from 1 species
GCGAGUGUAGUUCAAUGGUAGAAUUCCAGCCUUCCAAGCUGGUUACGUGGGUUCGAUUCCCAUCACUCGCUCCA